CAGCUGUUUGGAAAAGCCGCCGGUAUUUCUCCACCUGGCUCUCCUCUACCUCCAGGCAGGCGCACCCGAGGUCCCCCUCCCACCCCACCUUCUGCCCUCCCGCACACUUGGACCAGUGCUGUUGACCCGGAAGCGGACAUUUCUGCAGCUAUUCUAAGCACACGUCGGCGGAGGGAGCGGGACGUGGCCAGCGGUCAGCGGCGAAGGAGGCAGGCCCUGCGCGGGGAUCACGGAAGCCCUGUGAUUCACCAUGAAGUUCCAGUACAAGGAGGUCCAUCCCUUUGAGUAUCGGAAAAAGGAAGGAGAAAAGAUCCGGAAGAAAUAUCCGGACAGGGUCCCCUUGAUUGUAGAGAAGGCUCCAAAAGCAAGGGUGCCUGAUCUGGACAGGAGGAAGUACCUAGUGCCCUCCGACCUUACCGAUGGCCAGUUCUACCUUUUAAUCCGGAAGAGAAUCCACCUGAGACCUGAGGACGCCUUAUUCUUCUUUGUCAACAACACUAUCCCUCCCACUAGUGCUACCAUGGGCCAACUAUAUGAGGACAGUCAUGAGGAAGAUGAUUUUCUGUAUGUGGCCUACAGUAAUGAGAGUGUCUAUGGGAAAUGAGUGGUUGGAAGCCCAGCAGAUGGAAGCACCUGGACUUAGGGGUAGGGGAGGGGUGUGUGUGUGACUUGGGGAAAGAGAGGGCGGCUCCCACCGUGAGGAGACAGAAGGUGAAGACAUAUAGAAACUUUACACCGCACACACCGUCAACGCAUUUUCACAUGCUCAACUGAUAUUUUUUGUUGCUUCCUUGGCCCAGGGAGAAAGCAUGUCAGGACAGAGCUGUUGGAUUGGCUUUGAUAGAGGAAUGGGGAUGAUGUAAUUUUAUGGCAUUCCUGAGAUUUAAUUUUUGUGCAGUUUCAUAGAAAGGUCGGUCAGGAGGUGGACAAGUUGGGGUCAGAGAUGAUGGCAGUCCAGCAGCAACUCCCUGUGCUCCCUUCUCUUUGGGCAGAGAUUCUGUUUUUGACAGUUGCACAAGACAGGUAGGGAAAGGGGACUUGUGGUAGUGGGCCAUACCUGGGGACGAAAAGAGACCCACUGUAAUUGAUGCAUCGUGGCCCCCGAUCUUCCGUAUCCCACACUUCUUUUCUCCCAUCCCAGUUGCAAUCUCACUCACAAACAUCACAGUACCACCCCAGGGGCGGCAGUAGACACCAACCCAGAAAUUUAGACAGGGAUCUCUUAUCUUUGGAAAAUAGGGGUUAGGCAUGAGGGUGGUUAUGAUUAAGAAGAUAAUUUUGUUGUUAAAUAGCAUUAAACUGGAAUUGACAGAGUGAGUUGAGCAUCUCUGUCUAACCUGCUCUUUCUCUCUGGUGCUCCUCAUCUCACCCCUACCUUGGAAUUUAAUAAGCUUCAGGCAUUUCCAAUUGCAGACUAAAACCACUUCUACCAUCUCCUCUAGUAUUUUCCAUGUAUCAGGACAGAGAUGUCUUAUGUAGGGAAGGGGCAGGUAUGAAGUGAGGUAGAUUAUCUAUACCUCUCACUCAUUCAGGAUUCUCGCUCCCAUGCUGCUGUCCCUUCAUUCUCACACUCACAGGAAUGCUAUGUGAUGGCCAGCUGCUUCCCUUCUUGGUUAUCCACUGCAGCUGCUAGUUAGAAAGGUUUGCAGGGAUGACUUUUAGUAAAUCAUGGGGAUUUUAUUGAUUUAUUAUCACUUAUAGGAUUUUGUGGGGUGGGAGUGGGGAGCAGGAAUUGCACUCAGACAUGACAUUUCAAUUCAUCUCUGCAAAUGAAAAGGGUUCUUCCUCUUGGGGGAAAUCUGUGUGUCAGUUCUGUCAGCUGCAAGUUCUUGUGUAAUGAAGUCAAUGCUGUCAGGCCAAGAAAUGAAAUAAUUGCUUACCUUAAAAAA